rnacentral:snRNA from 1 species
UUACUUACCUGACAGGGUUGACAGUCGAUCAAAAAGGAUCGUGGCCUAGAUCAAUGGCUCGCAUUGCACAUGACGAGUGCGGAGGCUUAUCAUCUCCCCUGGUGGAAGAGUUGACGUCAUAAUUUGUAAUAGAGGGGGUAUUGCCCAAA